rnacentral:rRNA from 1 species
GAGUUUGAUCGUGGCUCAGAUUGAACGCUGGCGGCAGGCCUAACACAUGCAAGUCGAGCGGUAGAGAGAAGCUUGCUUCUCUUGAGAGCGGCGGACGGGUGAGUAAUGCCUAGGAAUCUGCCUGGUAGUGGGGGAUAACGCUCGGAAACGGACGCUAAUACCGCAUACGUCCUACGGGAGAAAGCAGGGGACCUUCGGGCCUUGCGCUAUCAGAUGAGCCUAGGUCGGAUUAGCUAGUUGGUGAGGUAAUGGCUCACCAAGGCGACGAUCCGUAACUGGUCUGAGAGGAUGAUCAGUCACACUGGAACUGAGACACGGUCCAGACUCCUACGGGAGGCAGCAGUGGGGAAUAUUGGACAAUGGGCGAAAGCCUGAUCCAGCCAUGCCGCGUGUGUGGAGAAGGUCUUCGGAUUGUAAAGCACUUUAAGUUGGGAGGAAGGGCAGUAAAUUAAUAACUUUUGCUGUUUUGACGUUACCGACAGAAUAAGCACGGCUAACUCUGUGCCAGCCGCCG